rnacentral:RNase_P_RNA from 1 species
CUGGUCAAGCACGAUGGUCGCGGGGGCCGAGAGGCUCCCGAGGAAAGUCCGAGCUCCAUAGGGUAGACUGCCAGGUAACGCCUGGGCGCCGCAAGGCGACGGACAGGGCCACAGAAAAGAAACCGCCCCGAGAGGCCGUAAGGUCUCGACGGGUAAGGGUGAAACGGUGGGGUAAGAGCCCACCGCGCUGCUGGUAACAGCGGCGGCAGGGUAACCCCCAGUCGGAGCAAGGCCAAAUAGGCGGCGAGGUGUGACCCACACCGACAAAGCCGCGGGUAGGCUGCUAGAGGUGGUCGGCGACGGCCAUCCCAGACAGAUGACCAUCCUCCGGAAACAAUCCCGGGGAACAGAACUCGGCUUACGGCUCGACCAGCAGC